rnacentral:rRNA from 1 species
AUUGAACGCUGGCGGCAGGCCUAACACAUGCAAGUCGAGCGAGCGGCGGACGGGUGAGGAAUGUAUGGGGACUGCCCGAUAGAGGGGGAUAACUACGGGAAACGGUGGCUAAUACCGCAUACGAUCGGAUAACCCAUAUGGGAUUAGCUAGUGGGUGGGGUAACGGCUCACCUAGGCGACGAUCUCGAGCUGGUCUGAGAGGAUGAUCGGCCCCCGUGGGACUGAGACACGGCCCAGACUCCUACGGAGGCCGCAGUGGGGAAUAUGGCACAAUGGGCGCGAGCCUGAUGCAGCCAUGCCGCGUGUAUUGAGAAGGCCUUAGGGUUGUAAAGUCCUUUCAGCGGGGAGGCGUUACCCGCAGAAGAAGCACCGGCUAACUCCGUGCCAGCAGCCGCGGUAAUUC